GACGAACGCUGGCGGCGUGCCUAACACAUGCAAGUCGAACGGAGAUAUGAUUUCGGUUGUAUCUUAGUGGCGAACGGGUGAGUAACGCGUGAGCAACCUGACUCUUAGAGGGGGAUAACACUCGGAAACGGGUGCUAAUACCGCAUAAGACCACGACAUGGCAUCAUGACGAGGUCAAAGGAGCAAUCCGCUGAGAGAGGGGCUCGCGUCCCAUUAGAUAGAUGGCGGGGUAACGGCCCACCAUGUCAACGAUGGGUAGCCGAGCUGAGAGGCUGAUCGGCCACACUGGAACUGAGACACGGUCCAGACUCCUACGGGAGGCAGCAGUGGGGAAUAUUGGGCAAUGGGCGCAAGCCUGACCCAGCAACGCCGCGUGAGGGAAGAAGGCUUUCGGGUUGUAAACCUCUGUCCUUGGUGACGAAAAAAUGACGGUAGCCAAGGAGGAAGCCCCGGCUAACUACGUG
rnacentral:rRNA from 1 species